AUUGAACGCUGGCGGCAUGCCUUAUACAUGCAAGUCGAACGGUAACAGGUCUUCGGUUGUCGUCGGGUGGUGCACGGGUGCGUAAUACAAACGCAUGUGUCUCGUAGCGGGGGGUAUCUACUCGCUUGAGUAGACCAUACCGCAUGAGAUCUAAGCAUGAAAGCCGCGUACUUUCAGGCCUUGUGACACUUGAGCUGCUGCUGGCAGAUUAGGUAGUUGGUGAGGUAAAGGCUUAUCAAGCCAACGAUCUGUAGCUGGUCUGAGAGGACGCACCGCCACACUGGAACUGAGACACGGCCCAGACUCCUACGGGAGGCAGCAGUAGGGAAUUUUGGACAAUGGGCGAAAGCCUGAUGCAGCAAUGCCGCGUGAAGGAUGAAGGUCCUCGGGUUGUAAACUGCUGUUGUACGGAACGAAAAGCCUGGGACUAAUAUCCGCACGUCAUGACGGUACCUUAAGAGUAAGCAACGGCUAACUACGUG
rnacentral:rRNA from 1 species